rnacentral:rRNA from 1 species
GACGGACGCUGGCGGCGCGCCUAACACAUGCAAGUCGAACGGAGCUGAGAGAAGCUUGCUUUUCUUAGCUUAGUGGCGAACGGGUGAGUAACGCGUGAGUAACCUGCCCUGGAGUGGGGGACAACAGUUGGAAACGACUGCUAAUACCGCAUAAGCCCACGAUCCGGCAUCGGAUUGAGGGAAAAGGAUUUAUUCGCUUCAGGAUGGACUCGCGUCCAAUUAGCUAGUUGGUGAGGUAACGGCCCACCAAGGCGACGAUUGGUAGCCGGACUGAGAGGUUGAACGGCCACAUUGGGACUGAGACACGGCCCAGACUCCUACGGGAGGCAGCAGUGGGGGAUAUUGCACAAUGGGGGAAACCCUGAUGCAGCGACGCCGCGUGGAGGAAGAAGGUUUUCGGAUUGUAAACUCCUGUCGUUAGGGACGAUAAUGACGGUACCUAACAAGAAAGCACCGGCUAACUACGUG